rnacentral:snoRNA from 1 species
AAGACUAUACUUUCAGGGACCAUUUUUAUGGUUUGUUACUAGAGAAGUAUCUCUGAAUGUGUAGAGUACCCAAAACCAAGAGGGAGAGGUGCUAGCUGCUCUCUCCCGUUGAUGAUAGUUCUUUUCCUCCUUUGGGGCAUUAAGAGACAGGGGACACUCUCUGAGGGGU